rnacentral:rRNA from 1 species
UACGUAGGGUGCGAGCGUUAAUCGGAAUUACUGGGCGUAAAGUGUGCGCAGGCGGCCAUGCAAGUCGAGUGUGAAAGCCCCGGGCUUAACUUGGGAAUUGCGCUCGAAACUACGUGGCUGGAGUGUGGCAGGGGAAGGUGGAAUUCCACGUGUAGCGGUGAAAUGCGUAGAGAUGUGGAGGAACACCAAUGGCAAAGGCAGCCUUCUGGGCCAACACUGACGCUCAUGCACGAAAGCGUGGGGAGCAAACAGG